UACAGAGGUCUCAAGCGUUGUUCGGAUUCAUUGGGCGUAAAGGGUGCGUAGGUGGCGGGGUAAGUCAGGUGUGAAAUUUCGGAGCUUAACUCCGAAACUGCAUUUGAUACUGCCUUGCUUGAGGACUGGAGAGGAGACUGGAAUUCACGGUGUAGCAGUGAAAUGCGUAGAGAUCGUGAGGAAGACCAGUGGCGGAAGGCGGGUCUCUGGACAGUUCCUGACACUGAGGC
rnacentral:rRNA from 1 species